GGAAGAAAAGACACGGAGGAGGAAUAGAUGCGGAAACCAAAAAAAAGUAGCAGAUAAGCAAUUAUUUCACUAUUUGUUUCUCUCAAAUACCAUCUCUUAAUUCAGCGAAACCACAGCCAAGGGAACGGGCUUGGCAGAAUCAGCGGGGAAAGAAGACCCUGUUGUUUCUUCCAAG